GAGAAAGAUGGAGGAGGAGGUGAGAAAGAUGAAGGAGGUGAGAAAGAUGAUGGAGGCAGUGAGAAGAUGAUGGAGGUGGUGAGAAAGAUGGAGGAGGAGGUGAGAAAGAUGAAGGAGGUGAGAAAGAUGGAGGAGGAGGAGAGAAAGAUGAAGGAAGAGGAGAGAAAGAUGGAGGAGGAGGUGAGAAAGAUGAAGGUGGUGAGAAAGAUGGAGGAGGAGGUGAGAAAGAUGAAGGAGGUGAGAAAGAUGAUGGAGGCAGUGAGAAGAUGAUGGAGGUGGUGAGAAAGAUGGAGGAGGAGGAGAGAGAGAUUGAUGAGGUGAGAAAGAUGGAGGAGGAGGUGAGAAAGAUGAAGGAGGUGAGGAAGAUGGAGGAGGUGAGAAAGAUGGAGGAGGAGAAAAGAUGAGGAGGCGGAGAGAAAGACGGAGGAGGAGGAGAGAAAGAUGAAGGAGGUGGUGAGAAAGAUGGAGGAGGUCAGAAAGAUGGAGGAGGAGAUAAAUAUGGAGGAGGCGGUGAGAAAGAUGGAGGAGAUGGAGGUGAUAAAGAUGGAGGAGGAGAAAAAGACGGAGGAGGAGGAGAGAAAGACAGAGGAGGUGGUGAGAAAGAUGGAGGAGAAAGAUCAGGCCCUACUGUCUGGAGGAUGAGCGGAGCAGGCCCUACUGUCGGGAGGAGGAUUGGAGCAGGCCCUACUGUCGGGAGGAGAAGCGGAGCAGGCCCUACUGUCUGGAGGUGGAGCGGAGCAGGCCCUACUGUCUGGAGGAGGAGCGGAGCAUGCCCUACUGUCUGGAGGAGGAGCGGAGCAGGCCCUACUGUCUGGAGGAGGAGCGGAGCAGGCCCUACUGUCUGGAGGUGGAGCGGAGCAGGCCCUACUGUCUGGAAGAGGAGGGGAGCAGGCCCUACUGUCUGGAGGAGGAGCGGAGCAUGCCCUACUGUCUGGAGGAGGAGCGGAGCAGGCCCUACUGUCUGGAGGAUGAGCGGAGCAGGCCCUACUGUCUGGAGGAGGAGAGGAGCAGGCCCUACUCUCUGGAGGAGGAGCGGAGCAGGCCCUAAUGUCUGGAGGAGGAGGGGAGCAGGCCCUACUGUCUGGAGGAGGAGCGGAGCAGGCCCUACUGUCUGGAGGAUGAGCGGAGCAGGCCCUACUGUCUGGAGGAUGAGCGGAGCAGGCCCUAAUGUCUGGAGGAGGAGAGGAGCAGGCCCUACUGUCUGGAGGAGGAGAGGAGCAGGCCCUACAGUCGGGAGGAAAAUACAUUUAAAUAAAUAAUAUGCCCUCCUAAAACUGAUUAUAACUCCAGUUCUGUUUGUGAUGUGAAUAUUCUUACACCGACAGUGUGUUCGAUAGACUCAUUUAGGACUUGUCAAGGACGGUGGGGCUGCAAAAAAUAAAUGAUGAGCUGUCAAAAAUGACUGCUUUAGUGGUUCUAGCGGUAAAAAGUGUAGUAACAGCUCGACUUUAGAUCAUUAGAAAGCAUUCGGCAAAAUACACCUGAAUGGAUUUCUGCAAAUAUGUCGAUACCGCGGGAGUUUUCUUACAUUUGGGAUCUUUACAGUCCUAUUGAUCAAACAAAGUGAACAGUUAGGUUGUUUGCCUAUGUACUUGCCUGCCUGAGCACCAAUUUGAUCGAUGCCAAAAAAAACAUUUGAUUGACAACUAAGAAAUAUGCUAACUGUGGAUAACAGUCAUUCAAGUUUUCAUUAUAGCUUGCUAACAAAAGUGAUUGACAUUUCUUGCUAGCUAACCAAAUGACACCUGCAUCUCUAGCUGUAGCCACUGAAAAUAAAAACGAUACGGGGGGAAAAAGUCGGCCACUCACCCACUCGUCCAAUGACAUGACAUCCUCCCAGCAGCUAGCUAGCUAGCUAGCAUUAGGCUCUAUAUUUAGGCGUGCUAAAUAGCUACAUAAAUAGAUACGCUAGCCUAUUAGCCUAUUAGCCUAUUAGCCUAUUAGCCACGUUAUGACUGACUUGUUAGCGUUAGCCUCUCUGGUUUGAUUGUACUUCACAUUGCUAAACAUUAGCUACAGUCGUCCUGAAACUGUGCAUCCCGAAUGGCUGGAGGCAGUAAACAAUGUCCCAGGCCAGCGG
rnacentral:lncRNA from 1 species